AAUAUUAAAUUUGCCUGCUUGGUGUGCAAGCAAAACCUCUAAUCAUUAAUUUUGGUCAAGUUUAAAACAGAGAUUCCCAUUUAUGGCGCACGUCGGUAUAAACACGGCAGCUUUAUAAAAAUUCCCAUGCCUGAGGCCCAUCCCCCCAAAAUCUAUUUUAAUUGAUUUGGAGUAGGGCCUGGGUAUUGAUUUUUUUUCUUUUGUUUUUAAAAAGCUCCCUGAUGAUUCUGUUUGCAGCCAGAAUUGAGAGCCGUUGUUCUGAAUGAUGCCUGAGAAGAGUGUUAAUCUGGCGUGUGUCGGGGCAAGGGGAGGCACGGUCGAGGGAGGUGUUAAACUGAGUUGGCUGACUUGUUUUGUCUGUCUUCAGCCCAGUAGCUGGACAGGAACAAAGUCAAGACUACAGUGCAGUUAUGUAAGGCUUGAGGAUAAGCCUCUUCCACUAAAACUGACUCAUUACUGUGUGUAUAUUCCAUUUAAAGCAAUCUAGAGCAAUAAUGUGGAAAUACUGGGUGAGAGCCACGUUUUGUGAAUAUGGUUAGGGCCCAAUAAUGGUCAAUAAUCAUUCUAUGACCAGAAUGGAGAAGUGACAGUAAAAAAGAACUCUCCCAUUUAAAAUAAUCUGCACUGGAAAUGCCCCAGUGUUUCUCGUAAUACCGGCUGAUACUGAGCCCAGUAACACACUCAUAUUGCCUUGAAUUUCAAGACAGCACUGUGGUGAUCUCUGAUGAUUCGAGGCUCACAUUUUGCCAUCUCUUGCACCCGAGCUGAACUUCUGGCUCAGUGUGUCUGAAGGCAGAGUGGGAAGACAAUUCAGGUAGCAGAGAAGUGAACAAAGGACAUUCCCUGAAUAGGCGAAUUCAAGCUCGUUAGCAGUUAGUUAGCCUGGAAUGAGGCUGAUCAUCUGUCGGCGGAAUUUUUCAGGAGCUGCAAAUGGUUGGAAUCUUUGUUUUCCUUUUCCUUCUAAGUGACCUUCUAAGUGACCUUCUCCUGGUCACCUCACUCCCCACAUCCCCAAAGGAGGAAGUGCAGUGGACAGGUGUUGGCUGAGAGUCCAGAGGACCUGGAUCAAGAGUCAGGAGGGUGGGCUUCUCUCUAAUUGAACGUGUGGCUUGGAGUCAGUUCCUCUCCUUUUCUGGGCUUCAGUUUCCCCUCCUUUGGGGGCAGAGCAGAACUGGCCUGCUUCUUUGAGUCCUGCUUCGAUUUCUGGAGCUUAAACAUAGUGUCCCAUCAUUCCUUGAAGACAUGCAGCUCCUGCUCCAUUGUGGGGUGUAUGUAUUUGACGAGUCUGGCUCCUGGUCAAACACCUAUGUGUGAUUUUUCAGGUCUGACUGCAAGCAAUGGCAGAGGCUUGACCUGGCAGCCCUCCUGGGGAAGCUCCCCUCCCCACACCAGACCUGGUGCCCAGCCAGCACACAGGAGGCUCUGAGGGGAGUUAAGGACUCAGCCCUGCUAUGCUAUGCUCUUCACAUAUUUGCAUUCCUAGCCCAGUGUCUUCAUUCCUAAAUCUCUUUCUCUGAGGCCUUCGGCUGAGGUUUUUUUUCAGGUGCCUCUUCCGAGGCCUCUUUACCAGGGGGAGGAGGGCGAACCCUGAAGACAUGCUUCCCCACUCUGAAUCAGCACCCAGGAUUUUUCCACUCUACCCCACACCCCGACCCCAGGGUCCAUAAAACUGCUGGAGCCUUUGGUUGGGGGCUCCCUCAACAGUGCAAUGUCCGCCACAUCUGCACGGAUCCACCUGACCCUUGAACGGUGCACUGUUUCAUGGGGAAAAUGAAACAGGAGAGCCAGCGGCUUCUCUGGCUUUAGCCUCCUGUUUAUAUUAACACUGUUAUAGCAAGUGAUUAAAGGCUGCACUGUUACUUUUUUUUUUUUGGCUCAUUCUUGCUGUGAUGGGCUACUCUGACACCUGACAGCUCAGCUCUCUCUCCCAGCUUAGCAGAACUCCCAACAGUAUUUUUUAAAUUUUUUUGGGGGGGC
rnacentral:lncRNA from 1 species